UACGGAGGGUGCAAGCGUUAUCCGGAUUCACUGGGUUUAAAGGGUGCGUAGGCGGGCAGGUAAGUCAGUGGUGAAAUCUCCGGGCUUAACCCGGAACUGCCGUUGAUACUAUCUGUCUUGAAUAUCGUGGAGGUGAGCGGAAUAUGUCAUGUAGCGGUGAAAUGCUUAGAUAUGACAUAGAACACCAAUUGCGAAAGGCAGCUCGCUACACGUUAUUGACGCUGAGGCACGAAAGCGUGGGGGAUCAAACAGG
rnacentral:rRNA from 1 species